AGCGUUGCAUAGCUUCCAAUUUUCGAACAAACCUUUUGCGUUUUAUUAAAGAUUUCCAUGGGGAAGAAGAAUUCAAAUGAAUCUAAAGCAAAUUUUUGUAAUACUUGACAGAAAUUUU